rnacentral:lncRNA from 1 species
CGGGCCUGGCUAAUUUUUGUAUUUUUAAUAGAGAUGGGGUUUCACCGUGUUGGCCAGGCUGGCCUCAAAUUCUUGGCCUCAUGUGAUCUGCCUGCCUUGGCCUCCCAAAUUGCUGGAAUUACAGGCAUGAGCCACUGUGCCCAGCCAGAAGUCAUUGCUUUUAACCAAAAAUUAAGCCAUGAGGAAAUAAGAAAAGAGAUCUGCACUAGGAGCCAGAAAUAUGAAGUUCAGUUUUCGUUCAUAUCUUUCUGUGUGAUCUUCGAGAAGACAUGGACUCUCUCCUAGCUUCAGGUUCCAAACCUCUGAAGUAAUAUAAUAAACUUCUUUAUUAUAUUGGAGAGGUUGAACAUGAUCAAACAGAAACAUGUUUGAAAAAGUCCUUAUGGCUGGGCGCGAUGGCUCACACUUGUAAUCCGAGCACUUUGGGAGGCCAAGACAGGCAGAUAGCUUGAGCCCAGGAGUUCAAGACUAGCCUGGGCAACAUGGCAAAACCCCAUCUGUAAUAAAAAUACAAAAAUUAGCUGGCCAUGGUAGUGUGCACUUGUAAUCCCAGCUACUCAGGAGGCUGGGGUUGGAGGAUCACUUGAGCUUGGGAGGUGGAGGUUGCAGUGUGCAUUCCAACCUGGUGACAGAGCAAGACCCUGUCUCAAAAAAAAAAAAAAAAAAAAGGAAGGAAAGAAAAGAAAGAAAAAGAAAAAAAGUAUUUCCACACUUAUAAAUAAGAAACUGCUUUGAAAAACAGUUUAUAGAAAUAUUAAACCUAGAGUUACCAUACGACCCAGCAAUUUCACUCCUCAGUAUAUACCCAGGAGAAAUGAAAACAUAUGUCCACAUAGAAACUUGUACAUGAAUGUUCAUAGCAGCAUUAUUCAUAAUCGCCAAAAAGUAGAAGCAAUUUAAAUGUCCAUCAAUGGAUAAACAAAAUGUGAUAUAUCCAUACAAUGGACGAUUAUUCAACCAUAAAAAGGAAUGAAAUCUUGGUAUAUGCUAUAACAUGGAUGAACCUUGAAAACAUUAUGCUAAAUGAAAGGAGCCAGUCCCAAAAGAUCACAGAUUUAUGAUUUCAUUUCUAUGAAACAUCCAGAAUAGGCAAAUCCACAGACACAGAAAGUAGAUUAGUGGUUGCCAGGGAUCGCGGGGAGGGAGGAGUGGGACUUGCAAAACUUUGACUAUACUAAAGACCACUGAAUUGUACAACUUAGAUGGGUGAGUUGCAUGCUAUAUGAAUGAUAUUUCAAUAAAGCUAUUUUAAAAAUGAGGCCACUCUUACCUCUUCAUAAACUCCCAGUAGCGUUACCAUACCAGAUAAUAAAAAUAAGACUUCUUAGAAUAGCUCCAAGCAAUCCACUGGAUUUUCCAAAGCCCCAGAUGCUGUGUAACAUGUUUUAUAUAAAUGAAAUGGCAUUUUUAUCUUGGUGGCAAACUUAUGGCCUUUAUCUCAGGUGCCCCAAGCUUUAUAUACAAGUGCAAAGUCCAAAAUUCCUCUAUAAGCUAUGCAACAUUAACUUCAAAAGUAUGCAGUGACACCUGGCCUCACUGCUACAGGGUGGGAGCCAGCCUUUCAUCAUCUUCUUAGGUGCAUACUCAGAGCCUUUGGAAAGUAAAUGCCUCAUCGUGGGCAUCACUUGAAUUCUAUUUGUAAUAACAUUACUUGGGAGAUAUGGCUUCAAUAGCUUUCUUACUGGUUCCCUAGCACUAAUUUUCCCACCUGCGUUUGUUGUUUCUAUCUGGAUUAUUGUAGAGCCCUUGUUUGGAGCUAUUGAAGGUGUGAGUGCUGGUCUGUUUUUAAUUGGCAUGCUAGUGGCUGUUGUUGCCUUAUUGAUCUGCAGACAGAAAGUGAGGUAAGUACAAAGAUCCUUUUGGUGAUUGGACCCACAACUUUAAAAAUGCAACUGAAAAUUCCCUUUAGGCUGAAAACUAAGAAGGGAAAAUAAUUUAAUUUUUCCAGGUUAAAUUGUCACUGUUUUCUCAAUAAAAACAAGUCAAACUCUAAAGCCAUGACUCACUUUUCUCAGCUCUUUUAUAUCCCAUUGAUGAAUUCAGCCCUUACCAAAGGACUGAGGGGCCAUCUAUAGCUUUAUUUAAAGAUGAAGUGACUCCUUUUGCACAGGAAAAAAAUAUUUUGUGUGUGUGUGUGGUUCAUAUCCUCAUGAAGACAGAGAUGUUUGCAAAUUGCAUGCCCAAGUGCUUUUCUGAAAUAUCCUGAAAAGUGUGGUUGACAUCACCAUUUUGUAGUUCAUAUCUGCCAUCCUAAUUUAAGAAGGGACCAAAAAGAACCAAAUAGCAUGUGGCCCCAAGUGUCGUGCCUUCUUCUCUUAGUGAAUUUUUUUUCUUAAUUUGGCACAUGUUCCUCUUUAUUGAAGUCGUGUCUGGCAUCUGAAAUUUACUGGAUUUUUUUAAAGCAAAGUUUUAUUGAGAAUGUGGGAAGUGAUUAUAACCUGUAGCCAAAAACCAGGAGACAAAUCUUCAGUUUUUGCAGAGAUCCGUUUCUGGGUGGGAAUGAUCUACUUUAUUCUCUUUCCUUUCCCUCCCUCAGAGAUGUUGGCUGAGUGCAAAUCUGUAUGAAUACUGAAAAAUCCAUAUUUGCACAAACAUCCACAGCCUUACCAUAAAUGGAAAAAUUUGUUCAAGCCAAGUAUCAUAAUCAGAAUAAAAGUUAUCUCCCUUAUGUUUCAGCCAUGGUCGAGAAAGACCCUCUGCCCGUCUGAGCAUUCGUAGGGAUCGACCAUUAUCUGUCCACUUAAACCUGGGCCAGAAAGGGUAAGCACCACAUUUGCCUUCGUAUAAUUUGUUGAAAGAUGGUAUUAUGUGAAAUUUGCUAACAAAGUCUUCCUCUUUUGGCUUCUCUUCACAGUAACCGGAAAACUUCUUGGUAAGAGAGAGAACACAUUAAUUACUAUAUUAUCUGCCUUUGAAAUAUGAGUC